rnacentral:rRNA from 1 species
CAUGUGUAGCGGUGAAAUGCGUAGAUAUAUGGAGGAACACCGGUGGCGAAAGCGGCUCUCUGGUCUGUCACUGACGCUGAGGCUCGAAAGCGUGGGUAGCGAACAGGAUUAGAUACCCUGGUAGUNCACGCCGUUAACGCUGAGUGCUAGGUGUUAGGUCCUUUCCGGGACUUAGUGCCGACGCUAACGCAUUAAGCACUCCGCCUGGGGAGUACGACCGCAAGGUUGAAACUCAAAGGAAUUGACGGGGGCCCGCACAAGCGGUGGAGCAUGUGGUUUAAUUCGAAGCAACGCGAAGAACCUUACCAGGUCUUGACAUCCCGAUGCCCGCUCUAGAGAUAGAGUUUUUCUUCGGAACAUCGGAGACAGGUGGUGCAUGGUUGUCGUCAGCUCGUGUCGUGAGAUGUUGGGUUAAGUCCCGCAACGAGCGCAACCCUUAUUGUUAGUUGCCAUCAUUAAGUUGGGCACUCUAGCGAGACUGCCGGUAAUAAACCGGAGGAAGGUGGGGAUGACGUCAAAUCAUCAUGCCCCUUAUGACCUGGGCUACACACGUGCUACAAUGGUUGGUACAACGAGUCGCAAGCCGGUGACGGCAAGCUAAUCUCUGAAAGCCAAUCUCAGUUCGGAUUGUAGGCUGCAACUCGCCUACAUGAAGUCGGAAUCGCUAGUAAUCGCGGAUCAGCACGCCGCGGUGAAUACGUUCCCGGGCCUUGUACACACCGCCCGUCACACCACGAGAGUUUGUAACACCCAAAGUCGGUGAGGUAACCAUUUAUGGGGCCAGCCG